rnacentral:rRNA from 1 species
UACGUAGGUGGCAAGCGUUGUCCGGAUUUACUGGGCGUAAAGGGCGUGCAGGCGGUUUGUUAAGUCUAGGGUGAAAGCUCCCGGCUCAACUGGGAGAGGUCCUUGGAUACUGGCGAACUUGAGGGAUGCAGAGGAAAGUGGAAUUCCCGGUGUAGUGGUGAUAUGCGCAGAUAUCGGGAGGAACACCAGUGGCGAAGGCGGCUUUCUGGGCAUUUCCUGACGCUGAGACGCGAAAGCGUGGGGAGCGAACCGG